GAAACGCAGUAGGAGGAGUGACGGGAACCGGGAGCCGGCUCCAUGCGCCUGGAGCGCGCGGGUCCCAGCGCCCAUCGGCCCGGGGUCCGAGGGGCCCGCUGCCCGGGCUCGCUGCGUGGUGCUACCGCCCCCGGGCCCGCUGCGCCGCGUCGGAGCCCCAGCAGACUUUGAGAGGCGUGUGCGACAGUGCGCGUCCUCUCCUGCCUCUGGAUGUUUCCUUGGAGCCUCUGGCCUUCGGGAAGACCGGUGCCAUCCAGAUUCCAACAGUGACUUUUAGCUCUGAGAAGUCCAAUACUACAGCCCUGGCUGAGUUCGGAAAAUACAUUCAUAAAGCCUGAUGGCCUGGUGUUGGGCCUGAUCACCCCAAAAUUUCAGGCACCCAACGUGGGGCUAUGAAGACCAUGGUAAAGAAAUGCUAGAGUAUAUGGAAAUGAAGGACAUAUCAUCAAAGGACACCCGAGGAUGGCUGAAAGAAGCUUGUGCCACUGGGUUAGAGUCUCCCCGACCAAGCUGGUCUCAGCAAGUGGUCUCCAUCAUGGGGGCUCGAAUCCAGGUUGAAGGGUCACCAGAGUGAUGGUUGGAGAACAUGGAACUAGCUGGAGGACACCUGAGUACUCUUAAAGCAAACCCCGUGGCCAAAAUCAAUAACCAAUUUGGAUACCAUCAAGACACCUGAAACCUUAUCAUGAGCCAGAUGCUGAGGAAGAGAUUCCAGGAGGAUCCUGAGGACCCCCUGGUUGCAGCCACGUCGAGGCUGACACUGAGGAGGACCCCAACUGUCAUGAGCAACACCCGUCGAACACAGCCAUCCACCUGGGGACAAAUCAAGAAGCUGUCACAGAUGAUGGAAGAAAACCUGAGGAAAGCGGGACAACCAAUCACAAUGAGUAAUUUGGUGAUCUAUCACAGUGAUGAUCACCAUUGCCAUGAGUAUUCCUUCAACAAGGGCUGACACAGAGAACAAUUAUACUUAUUGGGCAUAUUUAUCAAUCUUGUCUGGCAAUAAUGCCUAGAUGAUUUCACUCUAUGGCACAGUUACACAUGCUUUCUGAUCUCAGUAUUUACCAUAAUAAAUCUGCUCCUAUAAUUGAGGCAUACCACCCUCAAAAACCUAUUUGUAAACAAAAUAGAACCUGGCCAGAAAUAAUGAACAACUUGUUUAGUAAGAUUGCAUUGCAGAACAGGCAGAGAUGCUACGCAAUGAUUCCUAUGGGAUCAUUGAUUGGUCCCCUAAGGGGAUGUUUAGCUUAAAUUGCACCUCUCAGUCUGCAUGCCAUGGCCACACUAGUUCAGAUGGUCUGAACAAAGUGGUCAGAUGGCAGAAAUGAUAAGAAGUAUGGCAAAAGUUCCUAUUGUCUGGAACCAUGGCAGUAUAGUGUCACCUCAACCUCAAAUGAUAUGGCUCAUUGUAGGAGCUAAACAUAAGGAUUUGUGGAAACUAUUAAUAGCUCUUAAUAAGAUCAAAAUUUGGGAAAGAAUAAAAAAAGCAUCUAGAAAGACACUCUACAAACUUGUCUUUGGAUAUUACAAAAUUAAAAGAACAAAUAUUUAAAGCAUCCCAGGUACACCUGACCUUAAUGACAGAAACUGGAGUGCUUGAAGGAGCUGCAGACAGAUUAGCAGCUAGUAACCCAUUAAAAUGGAUAAAAACACUUGGAAGCUCUGUGAUUUCAAUGAUGAUUGUGCUUUUAAUCGGUAUUGUUUGUCUUUGUAUAGUGUGCAGAUGUGGAUCCUGACUCCUGUGAGAAGUAGCUCACAGUGUCAAAGCUGCCUUUGCUUUUAUCGAUUUGCAAAUCAAAUAAGGGGGACAUAUUGGGAACAGCACCCCCCCCCCCAAAAUCUGGCCAUAAACUGGUCCCAAAACUGGCCAUAAACAAAAUCUCUGCAGCACUGACAUGUUCAUGAUGGUCUUAAUGCCCACGCUGGAAGGUUGUGGGUUUACCAGAAUGAGAGCAAGGAACACCUGGCCCACCCAGGGUGGAAAACCACUUAAAGGCAUUCUUAAACCACAAACAAUAGCAUGAGUGAUCUGUGCCUUAAGGCUGUGCUACUGCUGCAGAUAACUAGCCCAACCCAUCCCUUUAUUUCAGCCCAUCCCUUCGUUUCCCAUAAGGGAUACUUUUAAUUAAUCUAAUAUGUAUAGAAAGAAUGCUAAUGACUGGCUUGCUGUUAAUAAAUAACGUGGGUAAAUCUCUGUUGGAGGCUCUCAGCUCUGAAGGCUGUGAGACCCCGGAUUUCCCACUUCACACCUCUGUAUUUCUGUGUGUCUGUCUUUAAUUCCUUUAGCACCACUGGGUUAGGGUCUCCCCGACCGAGCUGGUCUUUGCACUUCUCACUUCUGGAUAUAGGCCUCCCUAGAGGGUUUUUUUUUUCUUUUUUGAUAGGAUCUUGCUCUUUCAUCCAGGCUGGUGUGCUGUAGUGUAUUCAUGGCUUGCUGCAGUCUUGAUCUCCCAGACUCAAGUAAUCCUCCCAUCUCAGCCUCCUGAAUAGCUAGGACCACAGGCCUGUGCCACCAUGUCUGGCUACUUUAAUUUUUUUUCCCUUAGAGACAGAGUCUCACUAUGUUGCCCAGGCUGGUCUCACAUUCCUGCACUCGUCAUCUUCCUGCCUUGGCCUUCCAAAGUGCUGAGAUUACAGGCAUGAAACACUACACCUGGCCAUCCCUGGAGUAUUUCUUCCUUCCUUCCUUCCUUGCUUCCUUCCUUCCUUUUUUCUUUUCCUCCCUCCCUCUCUCUUUCUUUCUUUGUUUCUUUUUCUCCCUUUCUUCCUUUCUUUCUUUCUUUUCUUUCUUUCUUCCUUCCUUUCUUUUUCUUUCUCUCUUUCUUUCUUCUUUCCUUCCUCCUUCCCUCCUUCCCUCCCCUCCCUCCCCCUCCCCUCCCUUCCUUCCUUCCUUCUUUCCUUCCUUCCUUCCUUUCUUCCUUCCUUCUUUCCUGUCUUAUUUCAAAACACAUGUCUUC
rnacentral:lncRNA from 10 species